rnacentral:lncRNA from 1 species
AAGAUUGUCCGUGGGAGGCUUAUUGUGCAAAAAUACCAUAAUAAGAGACUUGAAAGCUCAGAAAUAUUGUUGAUAACCAACCAUACAUGUAGUAUUGAUUACAAGGUUAGGUUCCUUACUUCCAAUUGGCUGAGUAAUAUGAUACAAACUAAUGUGAGGGAGAAUUGAUAAUCAACUUUUAGUGCGUUAUUAUUAUCCCAUUUCAAUUCUGUUUAUGUGAUGAAUUUAAUGAUUAUUUUAGUGUUUUUAGUUUAUUUUGUUGGAGCAUAAUAUGUGCUCCUUUUG